UUCAGCAGAACCAGAGCUACUCCCCUGGAAUCCAACCAGUAAGCUGUUAUCAGAAUUCUCCAGCCACUCCUGGAUACCAUUGCCAACAAGCUGGAAAGAACUGUGUAGGAGGAAAUGCCAGACUUGCUGAGUCAGGCAACUUCUUCAACCCAAGGUUGACUGGAAAUGAGCGUGACUGCAUCCAUGGGAACACAGGAGCACCUACUCAAUGCUUGGCCCUAUAAAAUCGUAAUGAUCCCAUGAAGCAAGUAUUAUUUUGCUUCAUGGAAAAUCAACCGAAAAUGGAUUAAAGACUUAAAUGUAAAACCCAAAACUGUAAAAACCCUAGAAGACAACCUAGGCAAUACCAUCCUGGACACAGGAACUGGCAAAGAUUUCAUGACAAAGACACCAAAAGCAAACACAACUGAAGUAAAAAUUGACAAAUGGGAUCUAAUUAAGAGCUUCUGCACAGUAAGAGAAACUAUCCACAGAGUAAACACACAAUCUACAGAAUGGGAGAAAGCAUCUGCAAACUAUGCAUGUGACAAAAGUCUACUAUUCAUCAUCUAUAAGAAACUUAAACAAAUUUACAAGAGAAAAACAAACAACCCCAUUAAAAAGUGGGCAAAAGACAUGAACAGACACUUUUCAAAAGAAGACAUACAUGCAGCCAGCAAGCAUAUGAAAAAAGAUCAAUAUCACCAUUCAUUAGAGAAAUGCUCAUUAAAACCACAAUGAAAUAGCAUCUCACACCAGUCAGAAUGGCUAUAAUAAAAAGUCAAAAAAUAACAUGCCGGCAAGGUUGCAGAGAAAAGGGAACACUUAUACACUGUUGGUGGGAGUUUAAAUUGUGGAAA
ensembl:lncRNA novel transcript